rnacentral:rRNA from 1 species
AGUUUGAUCCUGGCUCAGAUUGAACGCUGGCGGCAUGCCUUACACAUGCAAGUCGAACGGUAACAGGUCUUCGGAUGCUGACGAGUGGCGAACGGGUGAGUAAUACAUCGGAACGUGCCCGAUCGUGGGGGAUAACGGAGCGAAAGCUUUGCUAAUACCGCAUACGAUCUACGGAUGAAGGCAGGGGACCGCAAGGCCUUGCGCGGACGGAGCGGCCGAUGGCAGAUUAGGUAGUUGGUGGGAUAAAAGCUUACCAAGCCGACGAUCUGUAGCUGGUCUGAGAGGACGACCAGCCACACUGGGACUGAGACACGGCCCAGACUCCUACGGGAGGCAGCAGUGGGGAAUUUUGGACAAUGGGCGAAAGCCUGAUCCAGCCAUGCCGCGUGCAGGAUGAAGGCCUUCGGGUUGUAAACUGCUUUUGUACGGAACGAAAAGCCUCUUUCUAAUAAAGAGAGGUCAUGACGGUACCGUAAGAAUAAGCACCGGCUAACUACGUGCCAGCAGCCGCGGUAA